UACAGAGACUGCAAGCGUUAUUCGGAUUCACUGGGCGUAAAGGGUGCGCAGGCGGCCAAGUGUGUUAGGCGUGAAAGCCCCGGGGGCUUAACCCCGGAACUUGCACCUAAAACUAACAUGGCUAGAGCAUUUGGAGAAGGGUAGCGGAAUUCACGGGUGUAGCAGUGAAAAUGCGUAGAUAUCAGGAGGAACACCGGUGGUGUAGACGGGCUUACUGGGACCACGACUGACACUGAGGGCACGAAAAGCGUUGGGGGUAGCAAAACAGG
rnacentral:rRNA from 1 species